AGCACCGAGCUGAGAGCUCCACUCCAGCAUCGUGGACGCUACUACUUUCCUGGGAGAUUUAUAUUAAAAAGAGGGCCGGCGGCUAGCUUUCCCUGCAUUGCAUUGCAUUGCAUUGCAUCUUUUGUUUGCUGGCAGGGAUGGCGACGCAGCAGUGGCGCCGGCGGCACGCCGUCGCCACGCUCAUCGCCGCGUGCGCCGCGGCGGCCGUCGUUGCUGUUGCUGCCGCCGCCCCCGACGUCCCGACGAGGAACUCGACAGCCUCCGCAUCAGCAGGCGGGGCCCCGGCACGCCCCGGCGGGAACGACGACGGCAAGGCGUACCACCACGUUUGGCCGCCAAUGGGAUUUGGAUGGCGAGUGGUGGUGGGGUCGCUGAUCGGCUUCUUCGGCGCGGCGUGCGGCAGCGUCGGCGGCGUAGGCGGCGGCGGCAUCUUCGUGCCCAUGCUGGCACUCAUCGUCGGCUUCGAUCCCAAGUCAUCCACUGCCAUAUCCAAGUGCAUGAUCAUGGGAGGGUCCGUUUCGACUGUCUACUACAACCUGAAGCGGAAGCACCCGAGCCUGGACAUGCCGCUGAUCGACUACGACCUCGCCCUGCUCAUGCAGCCUAUGCUCAUGCUUGGGGUCAGCAUCGGCGUCAUUUUCAACGUCAUAUUCCCCGACUGGCUCAUCACGGCCCUCCUCAUAACCAUUUUCCUAGUCACGUCGACUAAGGCGUAUCUCAAGGGCUUCGAGACCUGGAAGAAAGAGACAGUAAAGAAAAGGCUGGAGGACGCAAAAGGACAAGAGCCGCCAUCAGGUGGUCAUGGUGGCACAGAGCAUGAGACAUCGAUCCCUGUAGAAGCAGAUGCUGCUCCGCCUCCACCGAGCAGCAAGGCAAGAAACCCGACAGAUAAUGAAGCGACAUCAUCGGUUCUGAAGAACAUCUACUGGAAGGAGCUGGGUCUCCUUGCGUUCGUGUGGAUAGCAUUCCUUGGGCUUCAGCUCACAAGGACGAACUACGCCGCUUCCUGCUCCGUUUGGUACUGGGUGCUGAAUUCUCUGCAGGUCCCGGUGGCAGUGGGAGUGACAGUGUACGAAGCCUGUGGGCUAAGAACAGGGAGAAGGGCGCUGUCGUCUAAUAAGGGAGGAAGCCAGCAGCAGCAAAGCGCCCUAAGGAUUCGCCAGCUGCUGGUGUACUGCCUGUUCGGCGUCCUGGCAGGACUCGUGGGCGGCCUGCUAGGCAUGGGCGGUGGCUUCAUUAUGGGGCCACUCUUCCUGGAGCUCGGAAUCCCUCCACAGAGCAAUCCUCGUGCGUGCAGGUGUCUAGUGCUACAGCCACGUUCACGAUGAUGUUCUCGUCGUCCAUGUCGGUCGUGGAGUACUACCUGCUGCACCGCUUCCCAGUGCCUUAUGCUGCUUACUUCACGGGCGUGGCGUUCGUGGCCGCCAUCACGGGGCAGCACUGCGUGAGGAAGCUGAUCGCGUGGCUGGGCCGCGCGUCGCUCAUCAUCUUCAUCCUGGCGUCCAUGAUCUUCGUCAGCGCGCUUACGCUCGGAGGGGUAGGCAUCUCAAACAUAGUCCACAGGGUGGAGCGGCAUCAGUACAUGGGCUUCGAAAGCCUUUGCAAGGUCUAGUUAGGGUUAGGGACCCAACGCAAAAUGCAAGCAAACCAAAGACGACGUACACUGUACAAGUGGUGAACAUACACAUGAUUGAAUUGAAGGAGAGAUCGAUGGGGUCGAAAUUAAAGAUAUGCCAACAAAUCGAAUUCAGCGCACCGCAGCUGAACAUACACAUGCAUAUGAUUGAAAUAUUUUUUUCCACAUGUGGUUAAUUGAGUAAAAAUUGAUUUGUUCUGGCGGUUCAGUUACGCCACCAACCGCGAGUGUAGAGAAAUCGAUUUGCGCUGGCCUUUGUAAGCGGUAAACGAAUUCAAACAAAAAGGUUGUCGACUACAAAGUUUCGUAAACUUUUCUAAGUUCUGCAACUUUUAUUUUGGCA